rnacentral:tRNA from 1 species
AUUUAUAUAGUUUAAAUAAAACAUUAUAUUUUCAAUAUAAAAAUAACCUAAUAUUUAUAAAUA